GAGUUUGAUCUUGGCUCAGAUUGAACGCUGGCGGCAUGCCUUACACAUGCAAGUCGAACGGCAGCACGGGAGCUUGCUCCUGGUGGCGAGUGGCGAACGGGUGAGUAAUGCAUCGGAACGUAUCCUGGAGUGGGGGAUAACGUAGCGAAAGUUACGCUAAUACCGCAUAUUCUGUGAGCAGGAAAGCGGGGGACCUUCGGGCCUCGCGCUCUUGGAGCGGCCGAUGUCGGAUUAGCUAGUUGGUGAGGUAAAGGCUCACCAAGGCGACGAUCCGUAGCAGGUCUGAGAGGAUGAUCUGCCACACUGGAACUGAGACACGGUCCAGACUCCUACGGGAGGCAGCAGUGGGGAAUUUUGGACAAUGGGGGCAACCCUGAUCCAGCCAUGCCGCGUGAGUAAAGAAGGCCUUCGGUUGUAAG
rnacentral:rRNA from 1 species